rnacentral:sRNA from 1 species
AUGGGGGGCUUUGGGACUAACAUCUCAAGUACUACCAGCUUCACUCUAACAGGCUUCCCUGAGAUGAAGGGUCUGGAGCACUGGCUGGCUGCCCUUCUGCUGCUGCUUUAUGCUAUUUCCUUCCUGGGCAACAUCCUCAUCCUCUUUAUCAUAAAGGAAGAGCAGAGCUUGCACCAGCCAAUGUACUACUUCCUGUCUCUUUUGUCUGUUAAUGACCUGGGUGUGUCCUUUUCUACAUUGCCCACUGUACUGGCUGCUGUGUGUUUUCAUGCCCCAGAGACAACUUUUGAUGCCUGCCUGGCCCAGAUGUUCUUCAUCCACUUUUCCUCCUGGACAGAGUUUGGCAUCCUACUGGUCAUGAGUUUUGACCACUAUGUGACCAUCUGUAACCCGCUGUGCUAUGCCACGGUGCUCACUGAUGUCCGUGUGGCCCACAUUGGCAUAUCCAUUGUCAUCCGCAGCUUCUGCAUGGUAUUCCCACUUCCCUUCCUCCUGAAGAGACUGCCUUUCUGUAAGGCCAGUGUGGUACUGGCCCAUUCCUACUGCCUGCGUGCAGACCUGAUUCGGCUGCCCUGUGGAGACACUACCAUCAACAGCAUGUAUGGCCUGUUCAUUGUCAUCUCUGCCUUUGGUGUAGAUUCACUGCUCAUCCUCCUCUCCUAUGUGCUCAUUCUACAUUCUGUGCUGGCCAUUGCCUCCAGGGGUGAGAGGCUUAAGACACUCAACACAUGUGUGUCACAUAUCUAUGCAGUGCUGAUCUUCUAUGUGCCUAUGGUUAGUGUGUCCAUGGUUCAUCGAUUUGGGAGGCAUGCUCCUGAAUAUGUGCAAAAGUUCAUGUCUCUUUGUACCUCCAAUGCUCUACCCAAUUAUCUAUUCCAUCAAGACUAAGGAGAUUUGCAGGAGACUACACAAGAUGUUAUUGGGAGCUAAGUUCUGA